rnacentral:sRNA from 1 species
GGAUGAGAGGGCCAUCUGCCUGUGACACCCGUCACCACGCUGAUCUCCAGGCUUGAAUCGACAGGUCUGGUGGCCCAAGCCCAUGUCCCCUUCCUCACCCAGCGCUCCAUAUGCAUCCCUCCCAAAGCUGCUGGGUCACAGAGGACGACCUCCCUGAUACAGACAGUACAUUUUAUCACUCAAGGCCAUUGGGCAGCUGUGCUCUCUGCCACAACCACCCAACCAGCCCAAGGUACUAGAACUGCAUUUCUAGGGCUUACCCAGUAGUCAUAAGUAAAAUUUU